AUGGAAUAUGAGGGUGACAAGUUUAGACUACCAGAGGCUGAGUUUUAGCAUGCUAUCUGCAAGAUCUUGUUUUGAUUCACAUGCUUUUGGAUUUGGAAUUUGCAGGAAAAAUGGUUCCAGUGGAAGGAGUUUAGAAGAAACAGUUAUUCCAUGGUGGAUUUCUGGCUUUUAACUGCACAGAAGGUACAAAGAGCCGGAUUCGAGCUCCCGUAAUUCAAUUAAUGCCGACACGAAAAAAUGAUGAGUCUGAGUACAUGAAGUACUUCGUCAGCAAACAUAGCGUAGUCAUGUUGGCUAGAGCCGAUGUGCUCCCCCCCCCCCCUCCCUGCAAACCUAGACGUAGUCAUGUUGGCUAGAAUGGAUAUCUCCCUUCCCAUAGUUUGUGCAGUGAGGCGGAGAAGGAUAUAUACCAUAACAGUGAAACUUAUGUGUUACUGGAGCCAGGAGAGGAUGAGAAGUUUGUUUCAGAGGAUGAGCUGAGAAAAUCAUUCAAGCCUUGAAGAUUAAAAGUUUCUUUUGGCUCAAAGAAUUGAGAGUUUGAUUGUAUUUACUGAAAUUAGUAGUUAACAAAGCAUAAUCACAAACUGUAACAACUACACCCUCUUGUUAAUUUUAUUUUGUAGUUCUCACGUCACCUAAUAAAAAUUGAACACGUGUUAGGCUCGAGACACUAAAGAGACAUGUUAAGAUUAUCCCACAUUGUAACAUCCUACUAGAAGAGCAUAUAUGAGUUCUCACUUCACCUAAUAAAAA